rnacentral:rRNA from 1 species
AGGGUUCGAUUCUGGCUCAGGAUGAACGCUGGCGGCGUGCUUAACACAUGCAAGUCGAACGGGAAACCUUUUAUUGAAGCUUCGGCAGAUUUAGUUGGUUUCUAGUGGCGGACGGGUGAGUAACGCGUGGGUAACCUGCCUUAUACAGGGGGAUAACAACCAGAAAUGGUUGCUAAUACCGCAUAAGCGCACAGGACCGCAUGGUCCGGUGUGAAAAACUCCGGUGGUAUAAGAUGGACCCGCGUUGGAUUAGCUAGUUGGCAGGGUAACGGCCUACCAAGGCGACGAUCCAUAGCCGGCCUGAGAGGGUGAACGGCCACAUUGGGACUGAGACACGGCCCAG